UACGAAGGGGGCUAGCGUUGUUCGGAAUUACUGGGCGUAAAGCGCGCGUAGGCGGCGACCUUUGUCAGAGGUGAAAUCCCGAGGCUCAACUUCGGAAUUGCCUUUGAAACGGGGUUGCUUGAGUCCGAGAGAGGAUGGCGGAAUUCCUAGUGUAGAGGUGAAAUUCGUAGAUAUUAGGAAGAACACCGGUGGCGAGGGCGGCCAUCUGGCUCGGUACUGACGCUCAGGCGCGAAAGCGUGGGGAGCAAACAGG
rnacentral:rRNA from 1 species